GAGAGGGAAUUUCUGCGUUGUGGGCGGGGCGCAGACGGAGGGCACCGUACUCUGGGCACUAGCUUCACUGCCUACUACCCCGAGGUGCCUUAGCUCGUAAGCGUCUGUGGCUCAGGCCCUGUGCGCCUCGCAGGGACCCGCUGCUCGGGACCCCCGUCUCAGCGGCUCUUCUGUAGCUGGGCCUAGACGGUCCGCUGCCUCCUUGGGCCUGAAGGGCUCCUCUGCACUUAAACUUUGGUGGAGUAGGAGUCAAAAGGAAUCCACCUCUCCACCUAGACAACAGUUCUACCAGCAGCAACUCUCUGAAGUAACUAUGUUGGAACUCUGGAGUCUAUUCGAAUGCUUACAUCUUCCAAGGGAAAGCUGGGCUGGUAAAUAGAGGUUAAUUUCAGUCUCUGUCAGCUUUAGUGUGAUACCAGCUACUCAUGCAGUGUUACUUAACCCUGUAGCACGCAGCUGUAUCCACAUUCCUGGUGCGGCUUGCUGGAGGCUGGGUGGGCGAUACGAACUUUGUCCUCCAAAUACUGGCUGUCGACACUCUGGUUGUUGAUGACUGAAGUGCAGGUGCAGAGGCAGGUUGCCACUGUUUUGACCCCCCACCAGCUGAACCUCUUUCCAAGGGUUUUAAAAGAAUAGCACCUGUUUUGUUUGUUUGCUUCCCUUUUACUCCAUUUAUGAGUCAGAUAUUGAAGGAUUAGGAUAUUCAAAAGCAAUCACUUAGGCAGGGGAAAGUAGAAAGCUACUGCAUAUAACCAGGGAAAGACACAGGCUAAGAAAAGACCUGAGAAAACCUUAAGCUUUCACCCGAGGCUGAUCCUGAUCCCCAGCACAGAGACAAUUACAAAAGCCCAGCAAACAUGGGGGCAGGAGAAUCUUAUUUUCAGAUUCACCACAUUAUGAGAUUCAAAUGUUCAAUUUUCAACAACAACAAAUCAUAAGGAUUUAAAGUGAAGCCAAAUGUGGUGGCAUGUGGUUGUAGUCCCACUUAAUUGGUUGUUACUGGGCAACAUAGUGAGACCCCAUCUCUAGUUGAAAAAUAAAAUUUUUAAAAAAAUCACAAGACAUACAAAUAAACAGGAAAGUAUGGUCAAUUCAGAAGAACAAAAUAAAUCAACUCAAACUAUUCCCACAGAAGCCAAGAUAGAUGUCUGAGUUAAUAGACAAAGGCUUUAAAACAACUAUUUUGAAGUCGUUCGAAGAACUAACAGGGCUGGGCGUGGGGUGGCUCACGCCUGUAAUCCCAGCGCUUUGGGAAGCCAAGGUGGGCAGAUCACCUGAGGUCAGGAGUUCGAGACCAGCCUGGCCAACAUGGUGAAACCCUGUCUCUACUAAAUACAAAAAUUAGCUGGGCAUGGUGGCGUACGCCUGUAAUCUCAGCUUUUCAGGAGGCUGAGGGAGGAGAAUUGCUUGAACCUGGGAGGCGGAGUUUGCAGUGAGUUGAGUUCCUGCCACUGCUCUCCAGCCUGGGUGACAGAGUGAGACUCUAUCUCCAAAAAAAAACAAACAAACAGAAAAAGGACUAAAGGAAGACAUGAACAAAGUCAGGAAAACAAUGUAUGAAUAAAAUUAGACUAUCAUUAAAGAGAAAUUAUAAAAAGGAGCUGAGGCCAGGUGUGAUGGCUCAUGCCGGUAAUCCCAGCACUUUGGGAGGCCAAGGCUCGUGGAUCAUGAGGUCAGGAGUUCGAGACCAGCCUGGCCAACAUGGUGAAACCUCAUCUCUACUAAAAAUACAAGAACUAGCUGGGUGUGGUGGCAUGCCUGUGUUCCCAGCUACUCAGGAGGGUAAGGCAGGAGAAUCACUUGAACCCAGGAGGUGGAGGUUGCAGUGCACCCAGAUUGCACCACUGCACUCCAGCCUGGGUGACAGAGCGAGACUCUUAGAAAAAAAAGGAGCUGAAAUGAAAUUCUAGACCUGAAAGAUACAGUAACUGAAAUGAAAAAUUUACAUAGAGGGGUUCAAAAACAGAUUUGAAUGAGCAGAAGAAAGAACCAGCAAAUUUGAAUAUAUUUCUUUGUAAAAUACCCGCGGAACCCUGUUCCUUCGUUUUACCUCCUGCUUCCUUAGCUCAAGCCUUCCUCAUCUUAGGCAGCCUCCAAACUAUUCUAUCAACCUCCCCUUUUCCCUGCUCUAGUUUUACUAGAGUGAUCUUUAAAAAAACCCCAAAUCUAAUAUUGUCACUGUCCUUUAAAAUAUCCAAGGGCACCCGUGUGUCUAUAGAGUGAACUUCAGUUUCCUUAUUUUAGCAUUCAAGGACCUUCCUAUUUUGGCUCCAGCCUACUACAUUGCUUUAUUUCACACCAGCCCCACAUUCCAUUCAUAUACUGUAACCACAUUUUCUUGGGUACAAAGUCACUUACUGAAAAAAAGUUGAGCAUAUUUGGAAACCAAAAUUCAUUUUCUGUGAAUGGGAUAUCAAUAUAUAGCAUUGGUAGGCAUUGAAACAGACUAUAGUCUAUUUUUAAAAUGGAUUAGAUGAUAAAAACAACAUGUAUGUCAUCACUAAUCCAGUGGUCAAUAUUAGCAUAACUCUGUAAGAUACAAUAAAUGUUAUAUCUAUUGUAGAUACAAUGUUAUGUAUCUAACAUAAUAUCUAACAUGUUAGAUUCAUAACGUUGUAUGUAAUAUAAUGAAACAUGAAGUAUAACCUGUCACUUGUGAGGUAUACUAGUCUGAUAUGUUUGACUUGAAUCCACUGAGUCUUCAAAUAUAACUUUCUUGUUCAAGAAAUACAAGGCUUGCAGGAACAAGCUCAAUGACUUCAUGAGGAAGCAACCACUCAGAUAAAAACAUUUUGCACUUCAAGUGGCCUGAUUUCUACAGUGAACAAGAAUCUUUUAAUUUUUUUUUAAGUGCCAUAAUUAAAAAGUCAAGGGAUGUAACCAGAUGGAAUGUAUGGUCCUGAAUUGGAUAAUUUGGGUAUACUGGUUGUAGAAAAAUAUAAUUUGGUCAACAGAAUAUUUGAUUGUAGUUAGGUAUUAUGUGAGAGGAAAUUUUCCUGUAACAUUACUGAGUUAAGAAAGCCAACUGUAAAAAUAACUUUAGAUGGAUAGAAAAUGUGAAUGUGAUCUAGGAAUUAGGUGAGAAGAAAAUGUACUGAAAUAAGGUAGAUAUUUUUAAUUGAAAAAGGAGAUGACUAAAGUGAUCUCAUUUUGAAAAAAAAAAUACACACACACAGAAGGAUAUACUCUAAAGUAUUAACAUUGGCCCUGGGAAUGCCAUGGUUUUUUUUUGUUUUUCAUUAAAACAUAGAGACACGGUCUCACUAUGUUGCCCAGGCUGGUCUCGAACUCCUAGGCUCAAGCCAUCCUCCCACCUCAGCCUCCCAAAGUGUUAAAAUUACAGGCAUGAGCCACCACACCUGGCCUUUUUUAUUAAAAAAAAUUUUUUUUAAAUGCAAUGUUUUCUUUUUUUGUUGUUGUUUUAGCUUGUGUCUAUUCUCCAAAGCAUGUUGUACUGAUUGUGUAGUACAAUUUUAUUUAAAAAUGUAUGUUAAGAUUUACAUAAAUAUUUGGGGUGUCCAUGAAUCAAGAAAUACAUGAAAGUAUGGGCACCAAAACGUUAAAAGUGGUUUUGUUGGGAGUUCAGGGGAUUUUACUUUCUCCCUAAUACUUUAUUCUUUGAAUAUCUUGAAAUGGAUAUUUUGUAACUGUAUAAGGAGAAAGGAAGCGAAACUAUUUUUCUGCAGGGGUACACCCACAUCUAUUGUAUUAGACAAAUCACAGAGGGAUUGCAACAGAACACAGAUUUUUCUCACUGUUUUUUCUCUGGUUGAUCGGGAUGCAUUAUCCACCAGAAAACACUGUAGACGACUCACUCACCAGGAAAAGAGCAUAUGCCAGUUGGAAUAAAUAAAGGGGAAGAGUAAGGAAGAGGCUGUAGAAUUAUUUUAUAAAUUAUCAAGUCUUAUGAGCCAGGUGCAGUGGUGCAUGCCUAUGUACAGUCCCAGCUACUCAGGAGGCUGAGGUGGUAGGAUAGCUUGAGCCCAGGAGUUCGAGGGUGGAGUGUGAUAUGAUCGUCUGUGAAUAGCCACAGCACUGCAUCCUGGACAAGAUAGGGUCUCUUUAAAAAUAAGACUUAACUAGCACUUUAAUAAUCAUUGUUUUUGUUCCCAACUGCAUUGUACAUUCAUUGAGGACAGGGACUUUAAACUUCAUUAUAUUGCUGUUGCUGUGUUUCACCUUUGAAUGAUUUUUAAAUAAAAAUCUCAUCUUUGAGUCACAAUCUGAU
rnacentral:lncRNA from 1 species